GCAGGUCUGCUUGGGCAGGGACUCUGCCACACCUGCUGAUGUCAGCGCUCCCCGGGCCCCAGGGGUCCGAGCAGCAUUGGUGCCCUGGCCCACACGUUCCUUGUCUGUGUCACACCCGCGGGUUUAGGAUGGCCACCAGCCGGGACGUGUCCCAAGGAGGCCGUGCCAGCUUCUGUGGAAGGCCCUGUGCCCUUCCCAGCACAGCUGCGUUGGCAGCCCUGGGGGCUCCUUCUGCUGCCCUGAGCCCGCAGAGCAGGGGCUUGCUGACCUGUGGCCUUCCCGAGGCUUCUCUUCUGCAGGAGCCCUCGAGACCAGAGUGCAGGACUUGCUGUCCUGUAGCCUUCCUGAGGCUUCUCUCUUGAAGGUGCCUUCCAGGCACGACUGCAGGACUUGCUGACUCGGAGCUUUUCCGAGGCAUCUCUCCUGCAACUCGCCACAAAUCCAGUCACUGCCAUGGAGCAGAGACCCCUGAGAGUGCCCAAGCUGGCCUGGGUGCAGGAGGAGGAAGAAGGCCCUGGAGCUUCCCCAGUAGAGGAGAUCAAAGAGGUGGUGCCAUUUGAGCCACUGCAGGAGGAUGCAGCCGUGGACCGCACACAAGAGCAGGACCCCGCCCGUGGCCUCUUCCGCAGAACAGCGCAGGUACCUGCAGCCAUCCCCACCUGGGCUGGGCCUGCUGUCACCACUCAGCCGAGCACCGCGCUUGGAGCAUUCCGUGGAACACCCCUGGCUUCCUGCCCUUCUCCUACACCUGGUUUGCAAAUUCAUCAAGAGGAUUCAGGAGGAAGAGACCAGCACCAUGGGCACAGGGCUCAGAGCAUAUUCACACACCUUCAAAGCCAAGACCUGUGCUGCCCUGCUGGAUAUGC